rnacentral:pre_miRNA from 1 species
UUACAGCGAAUUUUACGUUAUUUACGGGUCUCGUAGAACAACGGUCUGUUUUUUGAAUACUAGUUCGUUGUCGACGAAACCUACAAAUCAACGUGAACUAUUCAACA